rnacentral:tRNA from 1 species
UGGGAUGUAGCUCAGUGGUAGAGCACUUGCCUAGCAAGGACCUGGGUUCAAUUCCCAGCACUGCUA